AACUAACAAGCUCAAUCCUAAGUCCAAUAAGUAUAAUUUUAUAGGGUACCUCAAGGAAAUGAGGGGAUAUUACUUUUACCUACCUACUGAACAAAAGGUAUUUGUCAGCAGUAAGGCAUAUUUUUGAAAAAAAAUUUCUUAAUAAAGGAAUAAAUGUCUCUAAAAUCGAACUUGAUGAAAUUCGACAGGUAGAAGAACCAACACCAAUGAUUGAAUCUGAACCAUACUUGAUGAGAUCAAAUCUGGAGCCCAAUGAAUAAACAUCCUUAAGG
rnacentral:lncRNA from 1 species